AAUGGAGGAAACUCUGAUGGAGCAACGCCGCGUGGAGGACGAAGGCUUUCGGAUUGUAAACUCCUGUCUUUUGGGACGAUAAUGACGGUACCAAAAGAGGAAGCCACGGCUAACUACGUGCCAGCAGCCGCGGUAAUACGUAGGUGGCGAGCGUUAUCCGGAAUUACUGGGCGUAAAGGGUGCGUAGGUGGUUUUUUAAGUCAGAAGUGAAAGGCUACGGCUCAACCGUAGUAAGCUUUUGAAACUAGAGAACUUGAGUGCAGGAGAGGAGAGUAGAAUUCCUAGUGUAGCGGUGAAAUGCGUAGAUAUUAGGGGGAAUACCAGUAGCGAAGGCGGCUCUCUGGACUGUAACUGACACUGAGGCACGAAAGCGUGGGGAGCAAA
rnacentral:rRNA from 1 species